GCAAAAUUAAAUAUGCGCAAAAAUGAAAAAAAUAUUUUAUCAGGUCACUAGCUAUAAUGAAAAAAGCGUUUAAAUUAGUUUCCGUAUCUGCAUAGGCUUUAUAUUUUAUUAAAUACAUAAUUUUUAUUUUAACAGUUAAGUUUUCAGUGUUAACAACGAUAACAGCUGUCGUCCGUCCUCGCACUUUGGCUCAAUGGACCUUCGUCAUUACAUUGUAAAGCUUCUGUAAGGGACCGACUUUUCUGUAAUAAAUUAACCCAAAUUAUCAUACAUGUUGACAACUAUUUGGUUUAUGACCUUUUGCUGUCCGCUGGCAAGUUUUUGCACGGAAAACUUAUUUGUUGGAGAAAGAUUAGGAAAAUUAAUUAUAUGCAUAAUUAGCAUAUUUUCUGUAAAUAUAAGCAUUUAUUCAUCUCAAUAUAUUAAAUAAUUGUGUUUGUA